GACGAACGCUGGCGGCGUGCUUAACACAUGCAAGUCGAACGGAAAGGCCCUGCUUUUGUGGGGUGCUCGAGUGGCGAACGGGUGAGUAACACGUGAGUAACCUGCCCUUGACUUUGGGAUAACUUCAGGAAACUGGGGCUAAUACCGGAUAGGAGCUCCUGCUGCAUGGUGGGGGUUGGAAAGUUUCGGCGGGUGGGGAUGGACUCGCGGCUUAUCAGCUUGUUGGUGGGGUAGUGGCUUACCAAGGCUUUGACGGGUAGCCGGCCUGAGAGGGUGACCGGCGACAUUGGGACUGAGAGACGGACCAGACUCCAACGGGAGGCAGCAGUGGGGAAUAUUGCACAAUGGGCGGAAGCCUGAUGCAGCAACGCCGCGUGCGGGAUGACGGCCUUCGGGUUGUAAACCGCUUUCGCCUGUGACGAAGCGUGAGUGACGGUAAUGGGUAAAGAAGCACCGGCUAACUACGUG
rnacentral:rRNA from 1 species